rnacentral:lncRNA from 1 species
CACUUGAAUUUCUUUACCUUCCUAUCUUUAUUCAUCAUACUCUUAGGGGAAUAUUGGCCCAACUCUAUGAACCUUCGGGCAUAUUCCGACACAGUCAUCUCACCCUGGAUAAGGUGUGCAAACUCCAUCUCCUUCAAAUAUCGAAGGUGCUCUGAGAGGUAUUCUGCAUUAAAGGCCAUCAGGAACUGUUCCCAAGUGAUUGGAACGGGUAGGGUGGCUUACUUGAGCUGCCAUCAGCGGCCUACCUCUCCCAUAAGCAUAUAGGUGGCAAGUAUAACCUUCUAUUCAGAAACCACCCCAAGAGUCACGAAAGCUUUCUCUGUCUCAGCUAACUAGAACUCGACCUCUUUAAAAGAGGA